rnacentral:tRNA from 1 species
GCGGGUGUAGCAUAGUGGUAAUGCACCAGGUUUCCAACCUGGCUAUGUGGGUCCGAUUCCCAUCACCCGCUCCA